rnacentral:lncRNA from 1 species
UCUGGCGCGGCCAGAGCCCGCAAUAGGCGGAAGUGGUCCGUCUGGAAGCUCAUCCUGAUUGGCUGUCUGCGGGGGUGGGGACCUGCAAUUCAUUCACUCGAGUAGCACGUGUCUCUUCAAACCGCAACCAUAACAGAUGCACGGGGGUUGGAGCGGUGCUGCCAGAUGCACGUACUCUUUAGCAGAUACAGAAGAGGUCGCAGGAGAAACGUUAGCUAAGGGCACGAGGAAUUAGAGAGCGCCGGUACCACUUGGGGUUGUGUGUCUGCGUCCUUUUGAAGCUGUGUGAAUGGGGAUGGUGGUCAGGAGCCCGCCUCUGAGUGACCUUGGAGCAUCAGCUUCACGUCUCUGAGCUCAGUGGCCUGAUCGGCAAAACCGGGCUGCUCAGAACCUUAAAGAUUUUCUUUCUAGAGGGUUCGGUUCAGCUAACGAAAGGGAGUCACCAAAGCAACUCUGAAGUCCUGCCUUCCAGUGAUAGGAGACCAGACAGUAAACAAAUAAGUCCUCCAUCAUCAUUGAUCAGGCCAAGAAGAAAAAAAUAGACCAGUUCCUAACAGGACAAUCAGGAAUUAUGAGAACAUGGCGUUAAACAAUAAUUGCUUACUAACCUCCAACUCUGCUGGGAAGAACUUGCCACUGGGCUAAGUGACACAGAUAAUGUAACACCGGACUUGGAAGACUGAAGCAGGAGGAUUUCGAGUUCAAGGUCCUCGGGGAAUCCAGGCCACACUACUGGGUCUCUGGGGAUUGUUUCCAUCCGUCAGUCCUGCUAAGCCAUGCUGAGCCAUCGUGGAAGUGAGGGAAGGUGGCCCUCUGGAAAUCACUUGAAUCCACAGCAGUGUCCUACCAGUCCAUGACCAAGCAGACAUGGGUCGAAGUUCCCACCUGCUCUACAAGUUUGGAUCAUUGGUGCGAUGUGCAAACCGUGCAGCUGUGCAAAGCUACCCUGUGCCCUGGAUAUAGUUUUUGGGUUGGAGGCAACAUAAAUAUCAACACACCCCCCCUAUUGUGGGUUUUAGGUUCCCUUGAUCCUGUUGCUCAUCCCCCUCCCCCACUCAGUCUUUUAAGCCUCUGCCUGCUCUGGCUAUUUGGUAUGAACAGUUCCAUCUCCACAAGUUCUUCCAACCCUUCACCAGCACUGGGGAGCCUUGAGAUACAUCUUCUCCAUACCGCUUGGUCACAGAGUACUCUGCCAGUACAGGGAUCCUCUCCUUCUUUCCUCUGAAUAAAUGGCCCCCAACAAGCAAAGGGAUGGAUGGUUACCUCCAAAGAGCCUCCCAAUCUCAUUAGUGUGACCAUAAAAUCCCUUUAGCCACAGUGCAUAUGAAAUUUCUGCCCUGUCAAAUUGCUCUUUCAGUGCCCACAAGCCCAAGUACACAAAGCCUGUGACCGUAGCCAAGUCACUGCCCACAGGUUGAGACCAGAAGAGGGAUGAAUCUCCAACCCACUCAGAGCCACAGAUCCUCUGGUUAAUCUGGUAACCUUAUCAAGUAUGAAGGGAUGCUGCGCCCAUUUGACAGGUGUAGAUACUGAGGCCCCCAGAACUGAAGUGGCCUCUGAUCCCACAGCCUGGGACACCCUGGCUGUGCUUUUUUAUAUUCUGCUGGUCACCUUGGGUCAGCUGGGAAAACCCUAGGCAAGAAAGAAUAGACUUCGGAUGUCAAACAAAGGGCUUUGUUCUACAUUUGCGUUUUAAGGACAUUCUAAGUCUUGAAGCUAGAAGGACUUUGAACAAUGUGUUUCCAAGAUCUCCCAUAAGAUAAGGAAUGCCUGGGACCUGGUUGUACAAAUAGCUUCUCAGGCCUUUGCACAGACCUGUUUCUGCAGUGGGCUUACAAUGGGGUGCACGCUUGUGCUUGUUAACAAAGGGAAUUUGCGCACCCAGAUGAGGAAAAAGCUCAGGAGGCGAGACAAAGCCACAUCAACCCUGCAUAUCUGAACAAGUUGUGUUCUUGGCUCUGUAAAUUAAGCUCACCUCCCAUACAGGAAGCCUUAAGCACUGAGCGUUCUUCUGCUCCCUGGAGCUCUUACGGUAGUUUUGUCAGCAACUGUGUGGUUUACUAUUCACUCUGAUUCGCCUAUGUGAGAAGAUGGAGGGCUGUGGAGAGGCUUGCUGGGUAAAGGCACUCUUGUCACCAAGUGACAAGGUUGAAUUAAGUGAACCUAAGAACCAUGCAAGCGUCUCUGUGAGUGUAAAAACCAAGAGAAUAGACCAGUUAUCUGAACUAAGAAAACUAGAAGCCUGGCUGGAAGGGUGGCUUAAGUCUGUAACCCUACCCCUCAGGAGGCUAAGUCAGGCGUGGCCACAGUUAUGUGACCUAGUUAUGUGAAAUCUCUUCCUGGGAGGCAGCUUCCUCCUCUGGCUAGUUCCUGGCCUUCCACCUUUCCUUCUGCCCAGUGUGAAAUUCCUGGGAAAACGUUGGGGGACUUUUCUUUCUAUCUUUCCUUUCAAUCUUCCUUUCUUUUCUUUUUUUUCUUUUACUUUUUUGAGAUAGGGGUGAAGAAAUUGGGGUGGGGGUUGUCCUCUGUGAGUAGCCCUGGCUACCCUGAAACUGUAGACCAGUUGAGGCGGCCUCAAACUCACAGAGAUCUGCCUGCCUCUGCCUCCCAAGUGUGCCACCACUCGUCUGCCCCCAGCUAGGGGCCUGUUAUUUCAAUAAGUUGGUAGCACAGGCGUCUCUCUAGAAUUGUUUCCUGUCCUUCAAGGAUGGUUACAGGAGGAACUGGGCAAGUCUGAAGCCAACUAAGGCUACACACUUGUUUCAGAGCAGCCUGGGCAACCAAAAGGACCAAGGCCCUGGACUUAGGCUGUGCCAUGUGUUUGGAAUGCUGCACCUCUGCCAUGGACCCAAACAUGUCCCCAGUGACCCCAAGCUCCUGAUGUUCAUCACCUCUGUCCUAGUUUGCUUUCCGUUGCUGUGACAAACACCAUGACCAACGCAACUUGAGGAGAAAUGGUUUAUUUGACUUAAACAUCCUGAUUCCAGCCUGAAGGGAAGUCAGGGCAGGAACUCAAGCAGAGACCAUGAAAGAACGCUGUUAAUCAGCUUGAUCUUCAUAACUCACUCUGCCUGCCUUUUACCCAGUCCUCACUACCUGUCCUGGGGUGACACCACACACAGUGGGCUAUGCCCUCCCACAUUAGUGAAUAAACAAGACAAUGCCCUUGCACACUUGCCCACAGGCCAAUCGGAUGGAAGUAUUUUUGUAGUUGAGGUUUCCUCUUCCUAGAUGAGUCUAGCUAGGGUCAAGUUGACUGAAAACCUAAAACAACCCCCCCCAAAAACCAGAACCCCAAAACUAGUCACUGAGUAUAUCAAUCACUCCAAGGCAAGCCAAGGCCAGGAGUAGGUGGCCAAAACAAAACGGACUCUGUGGGGUUUUUUGUACACUUUCUGUUUUAUAUUA